ACAAGGACUUAUGGACGUUUUAGUAAAUGGUGUCCAGCAGGGCAAAACUUGUAAUACGAGGUACCACCUGCACAACGCAAGGUACAACUCGCUGAAGCACCUGUGCCUUUAUAAGGCAGUCAUGGGCAGCAGCCAUUUUUGGGGAUUUUCUUGAGCUAGGGAUUGGUUCUUUCAUGGUGGAUUCGACCUUGGGGACUACUUAAGAAUACAAGAAAUCUUUCAAGUUGUUCAAGAACACCAAAUUUUCCAAACAUUGGAAUUUCAAGAAAAAGCUUCAAGAAGAUAUCAAUUUGUUGGUGGCGUAUGAGUAUUUUACUCAAUGUUACGAUAUCAGAGGAGGAUUAAAAGCUUGUGAAUGUUAAUAAAGCGAAAGCGAGUUUUGGAGCGUUGGGCAUCAGUCGAGUUAUUUGAAAGGCUUGGGAGC